rnacentral:tRNA from 1 species
GUCCUCGUAGCUCAAUUGGAUAGAGCGUCGGCCUCCGAAGCCGAAGGUUGGAGGUUCGAGCCCUCCCGAGGACG